rnacentral:rRNA from 1 species
UACGUAGGGUGCAAGCGUUAAUCGGAAUUACUGGGCGUAAAGCGUGCGCAGGCGGUUGUGCAAGACCGAUGUGAAAUCCCCGGGCUUAACCUGGGAAUGGCAUUGGUGACUGCACGGCUAGAGUGUGUCAGAGGGGGGUAGAAUUCCACGUGUAGCAGUGAAAUGCGUAGAGAUGUGGAGGAAUACCGAUGGCGAAGGCAGCCCCCUGGGAUAACACUGACGCUCAUGCACGAAAGCGUGGGGAGCGAUCCGG